UGACCGGGCUGUGUGGUCGCGCCGACAUGUUCGGUGAGGAAAGUCCGAGCUUUGCAGGGCAGGGUGGCAGAUAACGUCUGCCCAAGGCGACUUGAGGGAAAGUGCAACAGAAAGCAAACCGGGGCCAUUGGAGUUUUGCGGUGGCUUCAUGGGUGAAACGGCGGGGUAAAAGCCCACCGCGCCUCUGGCAACAGAGGCGGCAUUGUAAACCCCACCUAAAGCAAGAUCAAAUAACGGCACAAUGCGUCAAAACCUGUAUAAAUUUAUCGCAUUACGGGGUUGCCCGCCCUAAGCUGUUGGUACGAUCGCGUGAGCGUGGCGGCGACGCCUCGCCAAGAUAGAUGACCACAAAUUCAGCCUAUGUGUUGAAUUACAGAACUCGGCUUACAGGCCCGGUCAAAUA
rnacentral:RNase_P_RNA from 1 species